UACGUAGGGGGCAAGCGUUGUCCGGAAUCAUUGGGCGUAAAGCGCGUGUAGGCGGCUGAGUAAGUCUGCUCUGAAAGCCCGGGGCUCAACCCCGGGAGGCGGGUGGAUACUGCUCAGCUCGAGUCCGGAAGAGGAGUGUGGAAUUCCUGGUGUAGCGGUGAAAUGCGCAGAUAUCAGGAGGAACACCGGUGGCGAAGGCGGGUCUCUGGGCCGAAACUGACGCUGAGGAGCGAAAGCGUGGGGAGCAAACAGG
rnacentral:rRNA from 1 species